AUGGCACAAGAGAUGGAGCUUUCUGACAACAUCUAUACAAAUGAGCUUCAGGGAACUGAGAAGAGCAGUGGUAAGACCGAACCGCCAGAGAGAAGACUCUUCAGAAUUGGAGUUGUAACUUUGGCAGUGUUGUGUCUAAUACAGGCGAGUCUCAACAUCUCGCUGCGCCUUGCUCUGUAUAUAAAAGAAGACUCCGAUCAGCUUCCGUUCAAUUCCUCCACAAUAGCAGACAUGUGCCAGAUUCCACCGUCGAAACAGGAUGAAUGUUCCUGCUGCAACAAGCUGCUGAGAAGACUGCUGAGGGAAUAUGAAGCCAUGGAAAAAGAGAGAGACCUCUUAAAGGUCAUUGUCAGUUAUCUGUCUAAAAACAGGGUUACAGAUGAAGACUACACACACUCUGGCUCUGUUUCAGUGGAUGAAUUCCUCAAUCUGGAGAGAAACUGAAGCUGAAGUUGAAAACCUUUGACCACCCUGAAGAAGCAGCACUGCUCAGAGAGGGCAUUUCAGUAAAGUGUAGUUCUUCAAUCUGUAAAUUUAAUUAUUGUACAUUAUACAUAUGCCGUGGCAUUUAAGUGGUUACACACUCCUGGUUAAUAGUGACAAAAUGAAGAUCAUCACCCAACUCUGCAGUUCCCCUCAGCUCUAUGCGGCGUGUUGCUGUUACAAAGGAACUUCCCCCCUUGGGAUAAAUUAAGUAACUAUCUAUCUAUGUACCUAAAAUCAGGAUCUCAUUUUGCAAAUCUGUUGUUUGUAACAGUGAAAUGUGGUUUUAACAUUAAAAUCAUUCUGUAAGUGUAAAUGUUCCGUCUUGAUGCACUAACACAGACAGUAACACAGACACUUUUAGUUUUUUCCUUCAUCAGUUAUUUUAACCAUGUCUAAAAACUUUCUUGAGAUUCUAAGUGUUUUCUUAGCUGAUAAGUUUGUCAAAGGUAACCUGUCAGAAAUGAGAGCUGCAGGACAUUCACUCAUCAUUUCUCAUUAGCACGGCUGGCUUUGUUUUAAUUAGACGCUGUGACUGACACUUGUGUUCCAGUGACACUUCAUUCCAGGCCCGAGUAAUCCUCCUUCCCAGCUGUUGUUUGCCAAUCAUCCCAAAGUUGUCUGUUGUCUCUAUUUGUCAGAAUAGAACCACUCGCUGUUUGGUGGCAGCGAGAAAUAAAUGUUUGAUUUUCUUCUUUUUUAGCUUAAUGACUUUGCCGCACAGAAAAUAAAUGUAUGUGUCCGCGAAAGGAAUGAAAGGUUUGUCUUUAUAUAAAUUAAAACAUUGGUAAAGUUUGUAUUUCAAUAUAUAACAAACAAUAAAUUCAGCCGGUCAGCUUUCAGCCGUUUUUUCUAAAUAACUUAAGUGAAACAUUGUAUCAAAAUCAUAUCUGAUAAAGUUCUUUACAACCAAACACCUGAAGUAUAUGUGGUGCUAAAAUAAGACAUACUUGCAGCGACAAACACCAUGAAAACACAAGACUAAAAAAUAUUAAGUACCCUUGGGUAGUGCAAACAUAUCCAUAUCAAAUACCAACUAGUUCAAAAGAAAAAGGUUACCAUGGUAAUAGCAAGUGCAGUUUAAAAUAAAAGGAGAGAUUUCAUUGGAAAUGACUAGUGGCUAUAAAAUGAUGUGAUGCAUUGCAUUGGCUGUAUAUGUCAUUCAUUGGAUGCAUCAGUCAUUGGACAGAGAGGGAGACAGUCACAGGUUCAUUAAUAGGAUGUCCUUUUUUUAAAUUCGUUUUGAGAGUUCCUGUUGUGCCUGGAUUCUUCCUGUGCAGGCUUCCUGAGUUUGAAUUACUCACUGUGGUCUUGGGUUGGAAGCUGCAUCUUCUGUUCUCCCUACAGAUGUUUAGUAAAGGGAAUCAAAUGUGCCCUGGCCCUAAUCUGGCUGAGUGAAGCAAACUUGACACAUGUUAUUGAUAUUGUACAUUUUAAUGUCUCCAGCUAACGGUUUUCAGUUUAUAACAUGAAACCUAAACCAUGUUAAUGAGUGAUUUAUUAUUAUUUAAGUUUUUUGUGAUCAAAUGUCUCUGUGCUGGACUGUUAAGUACAAUUAGAGUCAUAAUUAGUGAGACAUUAAAAUCAAAUGUACAGUUGUAUAUAGGGCUACAUAGGGUUGUAAAGAUUCAUAUUCAGAUAUUGAGUUGUAUUAAUAUGUCCGCGCACAUAUACGCCUGUACACAUUACAGAGAGUACCGUACUGUCUUACACCUGCCUCAGCAAAAAAAGCUUACAUAUUCUUGUCCCACCAACCACUUCUUCCUUCAAUGCGAGAAAAGUUAAACUAAAAUAACUGCCAUUUAUAAAAAAAAAAGUACAUUUGGAGGAAGUAGAGCUUGACAAAUGAUACUGUCUUUGCAUCACUUUUUACCUUAAAUAGUUUAGGGGCAUUUUGAUUUGCAUUUUUGAUUCCUUAUUUGUUUGUACAGCACACGUGAGGCUUGUGCACUCCUAAAACUGUUUUAGGAGUUUCGUCCUCAAGGACAAUGAUGUCACAGAAACACAAAAGGAGAAGGCCCCCUCCAGACGGAGACCCACACUCAUCUGCAGGGGACGACACAAGUGCAGUGCCUAAGUAUAAACAGAGGCCAUGACAGAUUUCAGAGUGCGCUCCUGUGCAAACACAGCAGGCCGACUGUUAGCCACUGCCAUGCUGUCCAAGUCCCUCUGAGGGCGGAGGAAUCGCAGGCAGAUGGUCAAGUAUUCGGGAAUGACGCGUGACAGUCCUAAUUUAAAUACUGAUGACGGGAUUGUGCAUAUCCUUGUGUGCACAGUGCAUGCACAAGCCUCGCGUGUGCUGUACAAACAAAUAAGACUCUGGCUGGCAACAUAUCAGAGAUAUAAAAAAAAGCCAUAUCAAACACACAGCAGAGCUAGUUGUGCAAAAGAUAAGGUGCAGAGGGGAGGGGACAACUCUCAUCAUUACAUAAUAGCUAUAAAGAAAGUCUGAUGACAACAAUUCCAUGUCAGUUACUUUAACCAUAGAGGUGCCGCACAAGUUUGAACGAAUGUGAUAUGACACUCAAUUCAGUCGAAUGUAUUCGAAUGUAUGAACUCUUCACUCCAAUGAAUGUUCGAAUUUGGAAUAAAAAAUUAACAGCCCAAUAAAUCCUUAAGUCAGACUAUAUGCUGAAAGAUCAGGCU
rnacentral:lncRNA from 1 species